rnacentral:rRNA from 1 species
CGGGUGAGUAACACGUGAGUGACCUGCCUUUUAGACUGGAACAACUUACCGAAAGGUGAGCUAAUGCCGGAUGAGUUAUAUAAGUGCAUGUUUAUAUAGGAAAAGUUGGGAGACCUGACGCUGAAAGAUGGACUCGCGUCCCAUUAGCUAGUUGGUAGGGUAAUGGCCUACCAAGGCGACGAUGGGUAGCCGGCCUGAGAGGGUGGCCGGCCCACACUGGGACUGAGACACGGCCCAGACUCCUACGGAAGGCAGCAG